UCUCCGUAGGUGAACCUGCGGAGGGAUCAUUACAGAGUUCAUGCCCUACCGGGUAGAUCUCCCACCCUAUGUUAUUAUUACUUUGUUGCUUUGGCGGGCCGUUAGGCUCCGGCCCGACUAUCGCCCCCGGCUGGUAAGCGACCGCAAGAGGACCCAAAAACCUGAAUAUUAGAGUCGUCUGAGUACUAUAUACUAGUUAAAACUUUCAACAACGGAUCCCUUGGUUCUG
rnacentral:misc_RNA from 1 species